GGGGCCAUAGCUCAGCUGGGAGAGCGCUUGACUGGCAGUCAAGAGGUCAGGGGUUCGAUCCCCCUUGGCUCCG
rnacentral:tRNA from 1 species